UAAUGCACAGGAACGUACCUCGAAGUGGGGCAUAGCCCAUCGAAAGAUGGGGUAAUACCGCAUGUGCUCGCAAGAGUAAAGCCGCAAGGCGCUUUGAGAACGGCCUGUGUCCUAUCAGAUAGUUGGUGGGGUAAUGGCCUACCAAGUCUAUGACGGGUAGCUGGUCUGAGAGGAUGACCAGCCAGAUCGGGACUGAGACACGGCCCGA
rnacentral:rRNA from 1 species